rnacentral:rRNA from 1 species
CGGCGGACGGGUGAGUAACACGUGGGUAACCUACCUAUAAGACUGGGACAACUUCGGGAAACCGGAGCUAAUACCGGAUAAGAUAUCGAACCGCAUGGUUCGAUAGUGAAAGAUGGUUUUGCUAUCACUUAUAGAUGGACCCGCGCCGUAUUAGCUAGUUGGUGAGGUAACGGCUCACCAAGGCAACGAUACGUAGCCGACCUGAGAGGGUGAUCGGCAACACUGGAACUGAGACACGGUCCAGACUCCUACGGGAGGCAGCAGCC